GGAAUGUGACGGGGUCUGCUUUUGUGGUGGGGGUUUUCGGGAGGUUGACUAGAGGUUAAAGAUUGCUUUCGAUGAGAUGCAUGAUGUGUUUUCUCAUUGGCUAGAACUACAACUAGAAGAUCAUAGUCUCUUGCUACCCUUGUUGGUGUGUUAUCAUAUACAUAUCUGUGGAUGUGAUCUGCCUAUUCUCAUGAUUCACCUUUACACCAAGGUUAC
rnacentral:lncRNA from 1 species